UCCGAUAUGGUGUAGUGGCUAACAUAUGACGCUCUCAUUCCUUAUGAUCCGUCAUGCCCGGGGUUCGAUUCCCCGUGUCGGAG